UCUUUAUAGCGAUCCCGCGAGCCAACGAGUAAUUGCGCGUGUAUUGAUAAUUAUAUAUGCGAGUGCGAGCUGCAUAACCGUCGUGAGUAAUACUCUUGUUCCCAGUAAACACCGCGACCGUUAUCGCGCUUGUCGUCGGCUUACAAUUAGUUCGAAAAAUCAUUACUCACGAGACUUCUCGAGAAAGAAAGAAAUAUGCGAGAAGAUAAAUAGUGCGACUAACAAUUUCCCUUUGUGAACUGAAAUGCUGAAGAAAUUUUAUAAUCUUAACGAGAAUGGGUCAGAGGAGACGAUAGCUGGCAUGGAGGAUCCUUAUCGCACGCACAUGAUGUAAACGAGAAACCGCACGGCGCAGCGGUGGUGGCGGGUGAACCAGCGCAGCGGAACACGAUAAUUAUCGUGCGUCUCACAACAAGCUUGUGUGUACACGCGGGGCGCCUUACGCACGCAUCGGUAUAUCGCUUGCCAUGCUUGCGCGCUUUCGCGUAAGAAGUCUAUGUUACACGAACCGACGAGAAACUUCGGAACCAGACGAGACUUGCCUGACGAGAUGCUUAACCCUGAGACAUGAGCGUUCGUUACUUUUACAGCCGCGAGGACGUAACAGAUUAUUUCAAAAUAAUUGCGUUCGCGCAAAAUUCAUAUAUCACAGAUAUCACUUAAACAAGAGCCUUCAAGAGAUUUCCAUUUCUAGUAUAUUUCUUUAAAUUGCUUUGAAAUAUAAAAACGUAAAUAGAAGUCGUAAAGCUUUUAUGAGAAUUUCCCUUAAAAAUAUACUUGUGAACAUUUGCGUUUUAAAAUUAAAAUUGAUAACAAAGAUAAAAUAUGUUUAACAAAGAUAAAAAUUAUGUCUUUGUAACGCCAUAUUUCAACAUUCGGAAAAGUUAUAAUUUUCUUACCGUUAUGUUAAUAAACGUAAUAAUUGGAUGAAAUAUUAUUCUCUUAUUAUAUACAAUCAAACUUUGUGAUCGGUUACGUCAAGGCUGUGAAUUUAUGUAAUCAUGUCGUUUUCUAAGAAUAGCUGGAAUCAUGUAAUUCAAAUAUUUUUUUUCAUCAUCCCGAAUAAAGUAUAAGCUACGAACA